rnacentral:rRNA from 1 species
GGAUGAAUGAGCUUGCUCCUGAAUUCAGCGGCGGACGGGUGAGAAAAGCCUAGGAAUCUGCCUGGUAGUGGGGGACAACGUUUCGAAAGGAACGCUAAUACCGCAUACGUCCUACGGGAGAAAGCAGGGGACCUUCGGGCCUUGCGCUAUCAGAUGAGCCUAGGUCGGAUUAGCUAGUUGGUGAGGUAAUGGCUCACCAAGGCGACGAUCCGUAACUGGUCUGAGAGGAUGAUCAGUCACACUGGAACUGAGACACGGUCCAGACUCCUACGGGAGGCAGCAGUGGGGAAUAUUGGACAAUGGGCGAAAGCCUGAUCCAGCCAUGCCGCGUGUGUGAAGAAGGUCUUCGGAUUGUAAAGCACUUUAAGUUGGGAGGAAGGGCAUUAACCUAAUACGUUAGUGUUUUGACGUUACCGACAGAAUAAGCACCGGCUAACUCUGUGCCAGCAGCCGCGGUAAUACAGAGGGUGCAAGCGUUAAUCGGAAUUACUGGGCGUAAAGCGCGCGUAGGUGGUUUGUUAAGUUGGAUGUGAAAGCCCCGGGCUCAACCUGGGAACUGCAUUCAAAACUGACAAGCUAGAGUAUGGUAGAGGGUGGUGGAAUUUCCUGUGUAGCGGUGAAAUGCGUAGAUAUAGGAAGGAACACCAGUGGCGAAGCGACCACCUGGACUGAUACUGACACUGAGGUGCGAAAGCGUGGGGAGCAAACAGGAUUAGGAUACCCUGGUAGUCCACGCCGUAAACGAUGUCAACUAGCCGUUGGGAGCCUUGAGCUCUUAGUGGCGGCAGCUAACGCAUUAAGUUGACCGC